UACAGAGGAGCCAAGCGUUGUCCGGAUUGACUGGGCGUAAAGGGCUCGUAGGCGGUUUGUCGCGUCGGGAGUGAAAUCCACUGGCUUAACUGGUGGCUUGCUUUCGAUACGGGCAGACUGGAGGUAUGCAGGGGAGAACGGAAUUCCUGGUGUAGCGGUGAAAUGCGCAGAUAUCAGGAGGAACACCGGUGGCGAAGGCGGUUCUCUGGGCAUGUCCUGACGCUGAGGAGCGAAAGUGUGGGGAGCAAACAGG
rnacentral:rRNA from 1 species